UACGGGGGGGGCAAGCGUUGUUCGGAAUUACUGGGCGUAAAGGGCUCGUAGGCGGCCAACUAAGUCAGACGUGAAAUCUCUCGGCUUAACCGGGGAACUGCGUCUGAUACUGGAUGGCUUGAGAUUGGGAGAGGGAUGCGGAAUUCCAGGUGUAGCGGUGAAAUGCGUAGAUAUCUGGAGGAACACCGGUGGCGAAGGCGGCAUCCUGGACCAACACUGACGCUGAGGAGCGAAAGCCAGGGGAGCAAACGGG
rnacentral:rRNA from 1 species